AUUGAACGCUGGCGGCAUGCCUUACACAUGCAAGUCGAACGGCAGCGCGGGGCAACCUGGCGGCGAGUGGCGAACGGGUGAGUAAUAUAUCGGAACAUACCCUAGAGUGGGGGAUAACGUAGCGAAAGUUACGCUAAUACCGCAUACGCACUAAGGUGGAAAGUGGGGGAUCUUCGGACCUCAUGCUCAUGGAGUGGCCGAUAUCUGAUUAGCUAGUUGGUGAGGUAAAGGCUCACCAAGGCGACGAUCAGUAGCUGGUUUGAGAGAACGACCAGCCACACUGGAACUGAGACACGGUCCAGACUCCUACGGAGGCAGCAGUGGGAAUUUUGGACAAUGGGGGGCAACCCUGACCCAGCAAUGCCGCGUGAGUGAAGAAGGCCUGGUGU
rnacentral:rRNA from 1 species